rnacentral:rRNA from 1 species
UAAUGACUCUCGGCAACGGAUAUCUAGGCUCUCGCAUCGAUGAAGAACGUAGCGAAAUGCGAUACUUGGUGUGAAUUGCAGAAUCCCGUGAACCAUCGAGUCUUUGAACGCAAGUUGCGCCCGAAGCCAUUAGGUUGAGGGCACGUCUGCCUGGGCGUCACAU